CAGUAGCCACGGUAAUACAGAGGGUGCGAGCGUUAAUCGGAUUUACUGGGCGUAAAGCGUGCGUAGGCGGCUUUUUAAGUCGGAUGUGAAAUCCCUGAGCUUAACUUAGGAAUUGCAUUCGAUACUGGGAAGCUAGAGUAUGGGAGAGGAUGGUAGAAUUCCAGGUGUAGCAGUGAAAUGCGUAGAGAUCGGAAGGAACAUCUGUGGCGAAGGCGACUAUCUGGGCCAACACUGACACUGAGGCACGAAAGCGUGGGGAGCAAACAGGAUUAGAUACCCCCGUAGUCCCUGUCUCUUAUAC
rnacentral:rRNA from 1 species